GAUUUUUCGCCGGCCGUAUCAGUUCGGACGUUGCGACCCGUUUGGUGCUGGUUUUCGUAAGGACCGACGUUCAGUUCGACCAGUUUGAUUCGUUUCGGCGGAUCAGUUUGGCGAUCCGUUGGUUCCGAGCUAGCUAGCCCGACGGUAUAAGAAUGGUGUCCGGCGACGGGGACUUGUCCUCGUUGUCGGUACCGGUCGGUAACGAUUAUUCGGGCCUCUUUCCGACCCGUCUUGAAACACGGACCAAGGAGUCUAACGUGUGCGCGAGUCAUAGGGUGUCGCCGAUUGGUGCGCAAGCUUCAGUCGGCGUUAUACAAACGAAACCCGACUAGGCGUAAUGAAAGUAAUUUUUGUGCUUCGGCACAUGUUGGGAAGAUAGCGUUCCGAGUACACGUUCUAGACUCGAUCUAGACCGGACGUUCGCAUUCCCGGGGCGUCCCUUCAGUCCGGCGGUGUACUACUUCGGUGGUGCGCCGUUGAACUGGGGCGCACUCGUAGCGUACACGUUGGUACCCGAAAGAUGGUGAACUAUGCCCGGCCAGGAUGAAGUCAGGGGAAACCCUGAUGGAGGUCC
rnacentral:rRNA from 1 species